rnacentral:rRNA from 1 species
GACGAACACUGGCGGCGUGCUUAACACAUGCAAGUCGAACGGUGAAAGCGGAGCUUGCUCCGCUGGAUCAGUGGCGAACGGGUGAGUAACACGUGGGCAACCUGCCCCUCACUUCGGGAUAACUCCGGGAAACCGGGGCUAAUACCGGAUAUGACCUCCUUGGGCAUCCUUGGAGGUGGAAAGUUUUUCGGUGAGGGAUGGGCCCGCGGCCUAUCAGCUUGUUGGUGAGGUAGUGGCUCACCAAGGCGACGACGGGUAGCCGGCCUGAGAGGGCGACCGGCCACACUGGGACUGAGACACGGCCCAGACUCCUACGGGAGGCAGCAGUUGGGAAUAUUGGACAAUGGAGGAAACUCUGAUCCAGUGACGCCGCGUGAAGGAAGAAGGUCUUCGGAUUGUAAACUUAUUUUAUUAAGGAAGAAAAAAAUGACAGUACUUAAAGAAAAAGGACCGGCAAACUACGUGCCAGCAGCCGCAGUAA